AGUGAACGCUGGCGGUAGGCCUAACACAUGCAAGUCGAACGGCAGCACAGUAAGAGCUUGCUCUUACGGGUGGCGAGUGGCGGACGGGUGAGGAAUACAUCGGAAUCUACUUUUUCGUGGGGGAUAACGUAGGGAAACUUACGCUAAUACCGCAUACGACCUACGGGUGAAAGCAGGGGAUCUUCGGACCUUGCGCGAUUGAAUGAGCCGAUGUCGGAUUAGCUAGUUGGCGGGGUAAAGGCCCACCAAGGCGACGAUCCGUAGCUGGUCUGAGAGGAUGAUCGGCCACACUGGAACUGAGACACGGUCCAGACUCCUACGGGGGGCAGCAGUGGGGAAUAUUGGACAAUGGCGCAAGCCUGAUCCAGCCAUACCGCGUGGGUGAAGAAGGCCUUCGGGUUGUAAAGCCCUUUUGUUGGGAAAGAAAAGCAGCAGGUUAAUACCCCGCUGUUCUGACGGUACCCAAAGAAUAAGCACCGGCUAACUUCGUG
rnacentral:rRNA from 1 species